AUUGAACGCUGGCGGAAUGCUUUACACAUGCAAGUCGAGCGGCAGCGCGGGGCAACCUGGCGGCGAGCGGCGAACGGGUGAGUAAUGCAUCGGAACAUGUCCAUGUCGUGGGGGAUAGCCCGGCGAAAGCCGGAUUAAUACCGCAUACGCCCGAGAGGGGAAAGUGGGGGACUCGCAAGGGCCUCACGCGAUUGGGUUGGCCGAUGUCCGAUUAGCUAGUUGGCGGGGUAAGAGCCCACCAAGGCGAUGAUCGGUAGCUGGUCUGAGAGGAUGAUCAGCCACACUGGGACUGAGACACGGCCCAGACUCCUACGGGAGGCAGCAGUGGGAAUUUUGGACAAUGGGGCAACCCUGAUCCAGCCAUUCCGCGUGAGUGAAGAAGG
rnacentral:rRNA from 1 species